AGCGGCACCGAGAGAGCAACUCGGGAGCUGGUAGAAACCAGUCCCUACGGCGUCCUAAGGGUCCGUAGGGACUGUUUUGCGCCUUCAUGUCGUCUUCCGAUAACAAGAAAGAUUCCGUAGUUUGCAGCUUGUAUCGAGAUCGUUCGUCAGGCUUUAAGAGCGGAGUCGAAUCGCUCGGGAGACAUUGGCGAGACCGAUGUCACUCUCGGCUCCGCAGUCAGC
rnacentral:ncRNA from 2 species